rnacentral:rRNA from 1 species
UUGAACGCUGGCGGCAGGCCUAACACAUGCAAGUCGAGCGCGAAAGGUUUUCGGACUGAGUAAAGCGGCGGACGGGUGAGUAACGCGUGGGAAUCUGCCCAGUAGUGGGGGACAACAGUCGGAAACGACUGCUAAUACCGCAUACGCCCUACGGGGGAAAGGGGGGGAUCUUCGGACCCCUCGCUAUUGGAUGAGCCCGCGUCGGAUUAGCUAGUUGGUAGGGUAAAGGCCUACCAAGGCUACGAUCCGUAACUGGUCUGAGAGGAUGAUCAGUCACACUGGAACUGAGACACGGUCCAGACUCCUACGGGAGGCAGCAGUGGGGAAUAUUGGACAAUGGGGGCAACCCUGAUCCAGCCAUGCCGCGUGUGUGAAGAAGGCCUUAGGGUUGUAAAGCACUUUCAGUGGGGAGAAAGGUUUGUCACCUAAUACGUGAUGAAAUUGAUGUUACCCACAGAAGAAGCACCGGCUAACUCCGUGCCAGCAGCCGCGGUAA